CCGGUAACGAAUUUCCGAUAUCUUAAAAGAUUCACAAUACAAUAGGAACUUCCUCUGCUUAAAUAAUUGAGCCCCAAAAUAAAUGUGAAUAGUUAAGUUUUUAUUCAAAAUUAUCGAAAGCAAAGUUUCAUAUGUGUUCUCAUACGAAUACUGACCCCUCAAUACUGAAUAACAGACGGACGGCCACACGAAAAAAAAAAAAAAAAAAAAAAUAAAUAAAACAAAUAAAACAAAUACUGAAACGGUUUACUUUCGAUCAAAAAUCCGAAAAAUGACAGACAUAUCAC
rnacentral:lncRNA from 1 species